rnacentral:rRNA from 1 species
UACGUAGGGGGCAAGCGUUGUCCGGAUUCAUUGGGCGUAAAGAGCGUGUAGGCGGCCAGGUAGGUCGGUUGUGAAAACUGAAGGCUCAACCUUCAGAGGUCGACCGAAACCAUCUGGCUAGAGUCCGGGAGAGGAGAGUGGAAUUCCUGGUGUAGCGGUGAAAUGCGCAGAUAUCAGGAAGAACACCCGUGGCGAAAGCGGCUCUCUGGAACGGUACUGACGCUGAGACGCGAAAGCGUGGGGAGCGAACAGG